rnacentral:rRNA from 1 species
AUUGAACGCUGGCGGCAUGCUUUACACAUGCAAGUCGAACGGCAGCGCGGGCUUCGGCCUGGCGGCGAGUGGCGAACGGGUGAGUAAUGCAUCGGAACGUGCCCAGUAGUGGGGGAUAGCCCGGCGAAAGCCGGAUUAAUACCGCAUACGACCUGAGGGUGAAAGCGGGGGACCGAAAGGCCUCGCGCUAUUGGAGCGGCCGAUGUCGGAUUAGCUAGUUGGUGGGGUAAAGGCUUACCAAGGCGACGAUCCGUAGCUGGUCUGAGAGGACGACCAGCCACACUGGGACUGAGACACGGCCCAGACUCCUACGGGAGGCAGCAGUGGGGAAUUUUGGACAAUGGGGGCAAGCCUGAUCCAGCCAUGCCGCGUGCGGGAAGAAGGCCUUCGGGUUGUAAACCGCUUUUGUUCGGGAAGAAAUACUCUGGGCUAAUACCCCGGGGGGAUGACGGUACCGGAAGAAUAAGCACCGGCUAACUACGUG